CCUAGCCCUUCAGAGGGGGACAACAGUUGGAAACGACUGCUAAUACCGCAUACGAUCUAAUCUCGGCAUCGAGGAUGGAUGAAAGGUGGCCUCUACAUGUAAGCUAUCACUGAAGGAGGGGAUUGCGUCUGAUUAGCUAGUUGGAGGGGUAACGGCCCACCAAGGCAACGAUCGGUAGCCGGACUGAGAGGUUGACCGGCCACAUUGGGACUGAGAUACGGCCCAG
rnacentral:rRNA from 1 species